rnacentral:tRNA from 1 species
CUCGCGGUAGUUCAAUGGACAGAACGGGGUCCUCCUAAGACUCAAAUCCAGGUUCGAUUCCUGGUCGCGGGACCA